rnacentral:rRNA from 1 species
CGGAAGGUCCGGGCGUUAUCCGGAUUUAUUGGGUUUAAAGGGAGCGUAGGCCGUCUGGUAAGCGUGUUGUGAAAUGUCGGGGCUCAACCUGGGCAUUGCAGCGCGAACUGUCAGACUUGAGUGCGCGGGAAGUAGGCGGAAUUCGUCGUGUAGCGGUGAAAUGCUUAGAUAUGACGAAGAACUCCGAUUGCGAAGGCAGCCUGCUGUAGCGCAACUGACGCUGAAGCUCGAAAGCGUGGGUAUCGA